GGUGACUGCCAGUAGCAAAAAUCCCCAACAGCUGGCAACAGGACACCAGAGGAGGGCAGCUCUGAGUUACUACAGAAAAUUCUCUCUCAAGUGUCUAGCUGCAUGGACAAUGAAAGCAGACUCCCAGCUAUUAGUCACUUCCACCUUCAGAAGUGCCAGACAUCAAUCCAGUGCUAUCAGCCUGAUGCUUUAUACAGGGGAAGCUUGAGAUCUUCAGACCCACCUGGGUCACCCUGAACAUGGACACUGGACUAUACAAAUGACCACUGGACUAUAACCUAUGGACUAAUUCUGAAAGAACUCUUUGCAACUACAAAGCUCACCAUCUCUACUAUGAAACUGAUCUCAGAACUGUACUCAUGUCUGUAGGUAUACUAGUCUUUUAACCAAUACACACACUCUUUUUUAACAAAUUUUAGUUUAGUUAA